CAACAUAAGGAACACCCUUGUGGGAGUUGGCAGGAAUAUCGCCUUGUAAACCGUCUACAAGCUCGGUCAUUGCUUUGACAAUCUCAGGGUCUUCACUGUAGCUCUCGUAGCAUCUUCCCCAUCUCGGAUCUCUGCACACCUAUCAACCAGCAACAAUCUCAGGAUCUUCACUGUAAUAUGAUUGAAGAGAAAUUGGACAUUUCGACUACUUACUGCGAUACAUGGAGCGAAAGCGUAUGGAAUUCCAGUGGCCCUGACUUCAAGUGCAGUUGCUGCACCUAUCCUCUUCACCAGCUCCGGCUCUCUGCCAAUUUCCAACAUCAAGACCAAAACUUUUGGCAACCAACCACUGUGACUGACUCUUGACUAAUGGGACAGUUAGACUAACCUGGUGGCACCAAGGCCGAUAUUAUGAGGGAAGAUGGUAGCAUUAUAUACAUUGUUGUGUCCAUGAACUGCAUCAAUCCCGUAAAUCAUUGGGAUUCCAAGCCUGGUGGAGAGAGAACCAUUCUGGAAGUUGUUGAUCAUCUUUAUCCAUUGCUGGGGUGAAGCUUUCUCAGCAGGGACACUUCCUCCUCCACUCAGUAAACUCCCUGCCACCAUAAAGGUUAGGUUUUGAAUCCUGAAAAUAGCUUUGAAUCUAUCUAUCUAUUUGACCCUUUAAACAAUGCAAUGGAAUUGAUGAAUUUGAUUACCAAUGAAGUAGUUUUUCAUGACGUCAGGUGAAGCAACCUGGCGAUCAAUCUGGACCAUCU
rnacentral:lncRNA from 1 species